CAAGGAUUUUCCCUCAUGAUUAAAAAUGUCUCAUAAGUGAUGAGUUAAUUUUCAGAAUUAUUCAUAAAGUCUGAUUCAAGGGAAAAAAACCACACCAAAAUAAUGUGAGCUUUCUAUGAACACACAGGAAACAUCUUGUAAGGUUCUGAAGAGACAGAUUACAAAACAGCUAGAAAUUGGGGUAGAGGUGCUUCCCAGCCUGGUCAGGGUCCUGGAUUCGAGUGUCACAUUUGCACACUGGGAGUGCACAUGCACACACGUGUUGUAUGUGUGUGUGAGAGCAUGCCUUGGAGGGCAUGUGGAGUCAGAUGAUAACUUACUGGAAUUGGUUCUCUCCUUCUGCCAUGUGGGUCUCAGAGAUGGAGCUUAGACAAUCAGGCUUGGUGAAAGGUACCUUCGUCCACUGAGUCACCUGUCUGAAACUUUUCAAAGUGUAUUCAUUAACCACUUUCCUGAUGAAAGCUAUUUCCUGUCAUUUAAAUGUCAUUUAAAAGAAGAAGUUCUUUUUCUUUUGUUUGUUUGUUUGUUUGUUUUUCGAGACAGGGUUUCUCUAGUCCUGACUAGAAAUGGGGAGAUAGCUUAGUUGACAAUGCAUUUUCCUUAUAAGCAUGUGACCCUGAGCUCAAGCCCCAGCACCUAAAAUGACAGACAGGGUGGCACAUGCUUGUAAUCCCAGCACUGGAGAGGCAGGGGCAGGUAAACCCCAAGGGCUCGCUGUCCAACAUAACUGGUGAGUUUCAGACCACUGAGUAGGCACUGUCUUAAAAAGCAAGGUGAACCUCUGACUGCCACUCACAGCUACAGCCACAUAAUCUGCACCCCUACACACACACACUCUCACACAUACACACACUCACACACACUAACACAUACACACUCACUCACACUCACACAACACUCACACUCACACACAUACAUACACACUCAUGCACUCACACUCACACAAACACACUCACACAACACUCUCAUACACUCACACACAUACACACUCACACACAUACACACACUAACAAAUACACACUCACACACACACAACACUCUCACACACUCACACAUACACACACUCAACAUACACACACACACACACACACACACACACACAAAUACAGAAAGCCCAAACAGGAAGGACUCUGCUCUUUGCAUCCUUGAGUCUUCUACAAUGUUACAGCCUGCACAGUGCUGUCUGCAGUCAAUAUUUAAUACAUAUGCAAUGGAUUUGGAUUUGGAGCUCACAGGGAAAUCACUGAAAAUUUACUCUUGACCUACCUUGAGUAAGUGAGUGUACAUGGGACUGGAGAGAGAGUUCAGGGUUAAGAGCACCACCUGCUCUUGCAGGGGACCCUGGUUCAGUCCCCGGCACCCGCGUAGUGGCUCCCGACUGCCUGUGACUAUAAUUCGCAGGGAUCACGGAGCUUUUCUGACCCCUGCAGGUACCAGGCACCAAUGUGUCCGACGUACAUCCAUAGCAGGCAAAGCAUCCACACACAUAUAAGUACAUCU
rnacentral:lncRNA from 1 species